GUUUUGGUAGCUUAACUUAAAAGCGUCGGCCUUGUAAGUCGAAGAUUAGGGGUUUAAAUCCCCUCCAAAACA
rnacentral:tRNA from 1 species